AUUGAAUAAACAUUGUUUUUCCAUCUGAAUCAUCAUUAUGGUUGAUAUUGAAAUUUCAAUGCAAAAUAAAUGUUGAAUCAACAUUAUCAUAUCGAUGAAAACCUGAUGUUAUUAAUGUUGAUGGCAACAAUAUUGGAACAACAUUGAUCCAUAGUUAUCUUUAUGAUUGAUUAAGCAUUGAUAUUUGGUUACCGGGUGAUCCCUGAAUGUGUUGAAAAGUAAUUGAUUUAUAGUGGACAGAGGAACGAUGCGGUUGUUGAAAAGUCAUCGAAAUAUAGUUGACCGGGAAAUAUGAUAGAAAGUGCAUCGAAAUAUAGUUGACCAGGAAAUAUGAUAGAAAAUGCGUCGAAAUAUAGUUGACCGGGAAAUAUGAUUGAAAAUCCAUCGAUUUUUGGUUGACCGGGAGAUCAACGGGUGGUAUACCCAACGUACUGCACCGGACACAGCUCAUUUCUGGACCCUUGGCACAAGCGUACAGGCUGCCAGAAAGAAUCCGUCUCUAUAGUGAGUGAUUAUUGAAUGAGGCUGUACAUUAUAAAUGUAAUGUUUUAACUCGAGAUGUUUGUUUGUGUGAAUGCUGUGUGUGCGGUGAGUUCUGCGCGAGCGGGGAGCAGAGUUGCCAUGGAAACGGGGCAUCAACACAAAAACCGUUACUGGCAAGCAGUAACGUUAAUCUCCGUCUCUCGCUGCGGUUUACGCUGUUUUAGAAAUGGUUUAGUGUCUUCAAAAAGUCUGUUAGCAUCUAUCUUAGCAGUUUUCAGAAAAGGCUGAUUUACUGAAUCGAUGACGUCACUUACACUGAGAGUGUAACGUUAAUCGGCUGAAAACAAGUUCACAUGAGUUUUGAUAUUUCAUGAUAAACAGAUAUUAAUACAAAUUGUUCUGUGAUUUCAGGAGGACAGAAAGAAACUAUACAGAACAAAGUGAAACUCCAAGAUUUUUGAAAAGAAAAUUGGUGAAAUAUAUUCUGAAAAAGGCAUAUUAAUGUAUUUCAUGAGCUUCUUCAGUAAAUCUGUAUUUCUAAGUCAGUAUCUCCCUUCAGAAAUGUGGCUGAAGGGAGAUACUGACUUAGAAAUACAGCUGAACUCAUGAAAAGAAGCUCAUGAAACACAUUAAUAUGCCUUUUUCAGAAUAUAUUUCACCAAAUUUAAGAAGUCCCUGACAUCAAAACAUGGCUUGUUUUGUUCCUGGACUCUUCAGUGAUGAUGAGCAGAGUCUGAGGGAACCUGCUGUCAGACAAUGACUAUUGCACACCAAAUGCUCUUACUCAGCAGAUGGGGACAGCUACCAUCACCCAAUUUUCACCCAAAAGUGGCUGCGCUAUUCGCCAGACCGGGCAGGAGGGACUGGACGACAACUUAUGCAGGCAUCAGAUGACAAUGAAGUGUAAAUAAAGAGUAGAGGCUAAUAAACAGGAAUUUGAUUUUCAA